rnacentral:rRNA from 1 species
AUUGAACGCUGGCGGCAUGCUUUACACAUGCAAGUCGAACGGCAGCGCGGGCUUCGGCCUUGCGGCGAGUGGCGAACGGGUGAGUAAUGCAUCGGAACGUGCCCGGUAGUGGGGGAUAGCCCGGCGAAAGGCGGAUUAAUACCGCAUACGACCUGAGGGUGAAAGCGGGGGACCGAAAGGCCUCGCGCUAUUGGAGCGGCCGAUGUCGGAUUAGCUAGUUGGUGGGGUAAAGGCUUACCAAGGCGACGAUCCGUAGCUAGUCUGAGAGGACGACCAGCCACACUGGGACAGAGACACGGCCCAGACUCCUACGGGAGGCAGCAGUGGGGAAUUUUGGACAAUGGGGGCAACCCUGAUCCAGCCAUGCCGCGUGCGGGAAGAAGGCCUUCGGGUUGUAAACCGCUUUUGUUUGGGAAGAAAUCCUCUGGGCUAAUACCCUGGGGGGAUGACGGUACCGGAAGAAUAAGCACCGGCUAACUACGUG